AUGGAUGAAUCUGGAGAACGUCAUCCUCAGCAAACUGACACAAGAACAGAAAAUGAAACACCUCAUAUUCUCACUCAUAGGCGGGUGAUGAAAAAGGAGAACACAUGGACACAGAAAGACUUGCCCUCUGAACAAGGCUGCAGAACACUACUCCUGUUCCAUGGUUCCUUUAAUACAACCUCUGAGAAAUCUGGUGCAUUACUUCUCAGGCCUUCUUCCAGUAAACCCGUAAGAGACUUCCCAACCUCAGCCUACUUUUCUGCAAUGGCUAGAAACAUCAGCAGAGCUGAUCCACUAUGCUGAUUUGCAUUUCUUACUCCCUUUCAUAAGAAAACAUUUCUGGGGGAGGACUCAAGAUGGCGCUGUGAGAACAACCCAGGAUUGGAGCUCGCAUUGAAUCCGCAAAGAGGUGAGUCAGAGCGGCAUUUCCAGACUGAUCUUUGUUUCCCAUAGAACGGGGAAACUCCCAAGUAUAAAAAAGACACGAGAUGCCAGGCAGUACGUCUGCCUGGCGAAGCUGGCAGCCAGGGCGGCGGCCGGCCCUACCCAGCAAUCCCCACAGGGCGCGCUUGUCCGGGUGCCCUGUUGAACUGGCAACCUGAGACUUGAGAGGGCUGGACUUGAGACUGAACGAGACUUGGACAGUAGGCCAGCCCAGGGGAUUGCAGGGACAGAGUGUUAAGGGUACCCAGUGGGACGAACAAAACCGCGAUUUCAAACUAUCCAGAGCAGACGGUCCGAGACGCUCUGUGGGGGAGGGGCGUCCACCACUAUGGAGGCAACCCGCCCCAACUGAGAUACACGCCCACUGCUGACGCAGCCUGCCAUUGCCAAGGCAAACCGUCCCUACUGAGAUACACGCCCGCUGCUGACAUAGCCUGCCGUUGCCGAGGCAACAUGCUACAACGAAGAGACUCUGCUGCAGGGCGUGGCGGAGACCACAGCAGAGCCUGCAGGAACAGGGCGAAUCACACAACAGCAGGGCGGAGCCUCGGCAGGCAAACAGUGGCAAGUCUGCCUCCUAGCUAGUCAGGACACCUCAACGGACAUCGAAAAAUAAAGCCCAAACCCCCCAACACAGAGCAUUAGAGAAAAAAAGGAUUUUUUUUAAUGAGCUCUGUUGCAGCAGAAUCAAACAUAGCAGCCUAACCGCCCUGAAUGAACAACAGAGCUCACAGCUCAGCAAUUGAGCUCCAAAAAAGUAGACUGUCUCCUCAAGCAGCUCCCUGACCCCUCUAUAUCUAAAAGACUGACAUUUGGCAGACAUCAUCCUGGGACAAAGAUAGCAGAAAAAGAAACUGGUAGCAUCCCUCACUGCGCCACAGCUGCUAGAGGUGCACCCCAGACAAGCAGGGCCUGGAGUGGACCUCAGCAGUUGUACAGCGAAGGGGCUAGGCUGGUAGAAGGAAAACCAAGUAACAGAAAUACUUCAUCAUCAACAAUCUGGGUGUCCACUAAGAGACCCAAUCGAAAAGUAAGCAACUACGCAGACGACAAGCGGAUAAACCCACAAAGAUGGGAAGAAACCAGCGAAAAAAGGAGGAAAACACCCGAAACCAGAACACCUUGCCUCCUAGAAAGGACCAAAACUCCUCACCAGCAAGGGAACAAAGCUGGACGGAGAAUGACUGUGACGAAAUGACAGAAUCAGACUUCAGAAGGUGGAUAAUGAGAAACUUUUGUGAGCUAAAAGAACAUGUAUUAAAUCAAUGCAAAGAAACUAAGGAACUUAAAAAAAAGAUAUGAGGAAACGAUAACAAGAAUGGAUAACUUAGAGAGGAAUAUGAAUGAAUUAAAGGAGCUGAAAAACACAAUACGAGAACUUCGCGAAGCAUGCACAAGUUUCAAUAGCCGAAUUGACCAAGCAGAAGAAAGAAUAUCUGAAGUCGAAGACCAACUCAAUGAAAUUAAACGAAA
rnacentral:lncRNA from 1 species